GGCGCCAAACUGUUGCGACAGUUUCCGGAAGGUGACGUGUCGGUCAGAUUUUGGACUAAGUUGCUCCCGGUUGUGUCUGGUUCACCUGAAAAGUAAAGCUGCGUCGGGGGGGGGUUCCGACAACCCCGCUCCGAUACUUAAGUAAGUGUAUGGUUCUGAGAAUAAAUGCGCAAAAUAAUGCCAAAGAGACUGAUUAGCAUGUACCUUAGCAUCUGAAACAGUUCUUGUAUUUAUAGAGGUUAUGGAGCAGUUCCAUUAGCUUCACAAUUUGCGCACGAGGCGGUUGGAGGAGACGUGGCUCCAUGUAAACAACUCUUCCAGAUUCCGUAGAUCUCGGUGGUAUCAUGGGGUCCCACGACAUGCAUCGUGUCCCUUAGGUUCCGGGUACUGCCGAGACGCAUGACUUCCAUGACGUGCGUCGUGUCCCUUAGAUUCCGGGUACUGCCGAGACGCCUGCAGAUGCGGAUACCAACUAGCAUUUGGAUCGCCAACUCAGGCCUGUUGCAACAGACUUGGGCCCAAGGAGCCUCAAUGGGCCCGGGUAAAUUAUGCCUUUUCCAAUAUUUGGGCCCGGUCGGGUGGAUCAGAGAGGGCCCACAUCCCGGAUUGGGCCCAACUCCCGAGAAGAUCUAUAUUUGUCCCAACAAUGCUGUUGUUUGGUUAGAGGUUUUUCUAGCUCUUUUCACCACUCUUGAGGUUUUAUCCGUCGUCAUGUACAACUUAUCCUGCCCAAAUCCGUUACCUAGGUUUUAUUCGUCUUGGCUUCGAUCUCCACCAAGAUGGUGGCUUUCUCCUCAAUGUUCGUCAUAUUCUCCCCAGCGUCGGUGGCCCUUUUCUAAGUUCUUAGAUCUGGUUUUUUCAAAGCUAGAUCUACGUUCUUCCGAGGGUCUCUAGCUCCCACGCGCCACUUCAACGGCAUCACCAACGUCUUAACUUCCCAACGCCACCAGUCAUGCAGCAUUCCACCUCCCACACGCCUACACGUGGUGCUCACGCACUGGGUGGACAUUCCCCACCUCCGACGCAUGGAUUUCACACCCGGCGCCUGAUGUUGUGCUCUGCUUUGCUUUGUCGGUCACUAGAGUUGCUGAUUUUUGGGCUUUUUUGUUGUUUAUUUAUUUCAGUUUUAUUUUGUUGCUUGGGUUUUAGUUUCCCUUUAAUUAAGAGAGAUGCUUGUAUCUAGAUUUGUGUUGGUGCCUCUCUUUUAUGUAGUCUCAGAGAUUUGGACUAUUUCAGUGCUUCUAUCGCUUCAGCUAUCUUCGGGUGGUUGUUGUUGUUCCUAAGUGGGGUACAAAUGGGCUUGUCUUACUCUGUACUCCUUUAGCUUUUUUAAUCACCUUAUGCAGCCCUUUAAGAGGACUGAGUCACUUGUUUGACUCAUUUCCUAACUUUUGUAUUUAUUUCAACACUUUUUUAGUUUGGUUUAGGUCUAUUGUUGGGAAGCCCAUUCCUUUUAACUCUUUCCCUUAUUCAAUUAAAAAAAAUACUAACAUUUGCUUCGUUACUCAAAAAAUUAAAUGUUGUUAAAUUAACAAGUCAAUGUUUGAAACUACAUAUGUCACGUUGCAGUGCCCAAGACGCAUCAAAUAAUGUUAAGAUAAUGAUUAAAAAAAACAUAUGAUACCCACUAAAAUCAAAGUAAGAUAGAUUACAUAAGAAAAUCGGGUUUUAGAAGUAAAAAUGAUGGAUUUUAAGCUAAAAAAUGCACUCACCGAACAUAACUGGGUAACAAUGGCGAGCGCACAGAAAAUAAUUUUUCGAAUUGAGGUCAUAUAUGCAAUUUUGACACUCGUAGCUCAAGUUACACCCAAAUCACUAGCCUGUGUCCAUGUGUGUAAUACGACCCAAUCGAUUAAAGACGAAAGGACAUGACUAGAGAAAGAUCGGAAGAAACAUAUCAAAAAACGAGGCCAAAAACAAAAAUUGAAGUUUUUGUAAAACAGAGCCCGAUGGACCGAGAUUUUGUGGGUGACACGUGGUAGAAGGCUUUUUGAAAACUUAUGCCCAAAGUCAAGUGACAUGUGGAAACUAAGACCUAGGUGGCUAGGUUGACCAAUACACUUGGUCAUCGACUGAGGAUAGUUGGGUCAGACUUAUCCUGACUUAGAUUUGACUAGGGACACGCGUCAAAGCAGGAUUGAGCCAACUCAUCAAAGGUUCAGUCAACCGAGGGCUUAUUUUCUACGUGUCAACAAAGGCUUCGUCGACCGAGCACUGUAUGUUUGAGAAUUUCUAUAAAUAGGGCCGAGUGUUGAAGGGUUUUUCACUCCAAAAUCCUAUCUCUCUAGAAUUUAGGAUUUAAGUGUUUUGAGUAGCGGUAUAAUUUCGGACCGGUUAUAAUCGGCCAGAAAACAAGCUCCGAAUAACCAAAAAACCGGUUUACUAUCCAGUUAUAAAUAACCAUGUAACCGGGCACCUUGAGCCGAGUCGAGUAUUAAUUUUCUAGGCACUUGGUAAUAACUGGGUAAUCAGCUCCGGGUUAUAAUAUAUUAAAAAAAAUUAAAAGUUACCCCUACCUAGUACCCGUUACCCUAAACACAUGCCCCUUAACCCUUUCCUAUUUCCAUUUUCCACUUUUAUUUUCUCUUCUCGCCAGUCGCCACCUAUAGCCUACUUCUUCUUCUUCUUCACAAAAUCUGAGUUCUUAUUCUGCACGGCACACGCUCUUAGUUCUUCACUUCUUUUUCUUCUUCUUAGUUCUUCUUCUGUCAUGCUCUCCACUGUCACCUACAACAGAUCUGGUGAUUUUUGAAUCGGCCUUCGUCUUUGAUCUUUUGAUUCUUUCUCACUCUCACUGACUUCGUCUUUCUCUGUUUCUCUACAAAUUUGGUGAUUUUUGAAGCUGAAGAAGCAGUCUAGCAGACGGUUAGUUAUAGAUGAUUGAGAGCAGAGCUGCAGAAAGCCAGAAACUGGACCAUGCUUGGAUAUGUUUAAUAUGUUUAUGAACUUUUCAAAUAUGUUUAUGGACUUCUGGGUUUGAACUUUUUUAUUAUGUUUAUAAACUUUUGGGUUUUUAAUAUGUAAUUAUGUAUGGAUGUGGAGUUUUCGAA